AUUGAACGCUGGCGGCAGGCCUAACACAUGCAAGUCGAGCGGAGCGGCGGACGGGUGAGUAAUGCCUAGGUAUCUGCCUGGCAGUGGGGGAUAACGUCCGGAAACGGGCGCUAAUACCGCAUAUUAUCAGCUGAGCCUAGGUCGGAUUAGUUAGUUGGUGGGGUAAAGGCCUACCAAGGCGACGAUCCGUAACUGGUCUGAGAGGAGGAUCAGUCACACUGGAACUGAGACACGGUCCAGACUCCUACGGGAGGCAGCAGGGGGGAAUAUUGGACAAUGGGCGAAAGCCUGAUCCAGCCAUGCCGCGUGUGUGAAGAAGGUCUUAGGGUUGUAAAGCACUUUCAGUUGGGAGGCGUUACCGACAGAAUAAGCACCGGCUAACUUCGUGCCAGCAGCCGCGGUAAUUC
rnacentral:rRNA from 1 species